rnacentral:tRNA from 1 species
GGAGAGAUGGCCGAGUGGCCGAAGGCGGCACCCUGCUAAGGUGUUAUAUCCGUAAGGGUAUCGAGGGUUCGAAUCCCUCUCUCUCCGCCA